GGGGUAAGGGUGAAACGGUGGUGUAAGAGACCACCAGCGCCCCGGGUGACCGGGGUGGCUCGGUAAACCCCACCCGGAGCAAGGCCAAGAGGGCGCCGCUCGCGGUGCCUGCGCAGGCGUUCGAGGGCGGCCCGCCCGAGGCCUGCGGGUAGGCCGCUGGAGCCUGCCGGCAACGGUGGGCCGAGAUGGAUGGCCGCCGAACGGGACCGCCGCAAGGCACCCGGGAACAGGAUCCGGCUUACAGGCCAGCUCGUCCG
rnacentral:RNase_P_RNA from 1 species